rnacentral:misc_RNA from 1 species
AAGUCGUAACAAGGUCUCCGUUGGUGAACCAGCGGAGGGAUCAUUAGCGAGUAUAACUCUCUAAAACCAUUGUGAACGAACGAACCCGUUGCUUCGGCGGACGGCUCUGCCGCCGCCGGAAGAACGCAAACUCUUAUAACCAUUGGCCUCUCUGAGUAAGAUUUUUAAAUAAGUCAAAACUUUCAACAACGGAUCUCUUGGUUCUG